UCAGGCUGUGUUUCAUCAAAGCUGCUUAAAACAUGUCCCUGCCCAGCCUUCCUCCCUUAAUCUUAAAAUUUCUCACUUCUUUUUCUCUACUUCCCUGAAGAUAACACUAUCUAAACUGCUUCUUUGGAGGAUGUAAGAGGGAUCUACUUACCAACUGAUGAAGAACUAUGGCAGGAAACUGGAUGAACCUCCUUAGAGAGAAACUUCUCAUUAAACUGAAAUUUGCCAAGCACUGGAAUAGGGGGAAGGAAUCCCUUAGGCUGGAGGAUGGAGAGGGCGAUCUAUAGAGGUUCCUUUCCAAACUUUACAUUUUUCAUCCUAUCUAAGUCAUCAGACCCUCGUACUGAAGAUGGUAUAUGGAGGACAAAAACUCAUCCCCAGGAAGGUCUCUUCCCAUCUGGGACCCAGGAGCCACAGAAUCAGCAGCUGCAUUGCAGGCACCAGAACAAGUAAACAGGUGACUUAGCAGGUGAGAAAGUGGAAAGAAGCUCUGACAUCUGGGAACUGGCCUGAUACAGCUAGGUUUGGAACUGUUAGGGGCUAACCUGGGCUCACAGGUAGGAAAUGGUGCUCUCCUGUUGGACAGAAAGCCUCACAAAACACCAACAUUAGCCAAGGACACUCAGUAACUGUGAUGAAGUGAGGCAAAAAACAAGACCACUUUGAAAUUGUGCUUAAGCACUAAACAAGCCAGUGCUGGAACCUGUGCUGUGCAGAAGAGAGGACAAGACCAGGGAUGUCCCCAGCUUCCCAUCAGAGGACACACAAGCCCUCAAUCAGUCCUUCCUCUGCUGGCUUCAGUCUGCGCUCCUAUGCAAGCCCCCUCUGUGAGGCUUGAAGGAAGAUGGACAAGAGAACCCUCAUAAAAGGGAGGUGCCGGAACUUGCACUUGGCUCCUCUCUGGCAAUCACCCUUGAGAAAGUCACGGCAGAUAGGGACCUCCUCCUUGCCAUUUGGUAGGUCAGCUGGUGAAAGGCCCAGGCCGGCUGCCACUUUCUG